rnacentral:rRNA from 1 species
CCUACGGGAGACAGCAGUGAGGAAUAUUGGUCAAUGGGCGCGAGCCUGAACCAGCCAAGUCGCGUGAGGGAAGACGGUCCUAUGGAUUGUAAACCUCUUUUGUCGGGGAGCAAAAGACGCCACGCGUGCCUUUCCGAGAGUACUCGAAGAAAAAGCAUCGGCUAACUCCGUGCCAGCAGCCGCGGUAAUACGGAGGAUGCGAGCGUUAUCCGGAUUUAUUGGGUUUAAAGGGUGCGCAGGCGGAAGAUCAAGUCAGCGGUAAAAUCGAGAGGCUCAACCUCUUCGAGCCGUUGAAACUGGUUGUCUUGAGUGAGUGAGAGGUAUGCGGAAUGCGUGGUGUAGCGGUGAAAUGCAUAGAUAUCACGCAGAACUCCGAUUGCGAAGGCAGCAUACCGGCGGUCAACUGACGCUGAGGCACGAAAGUGUGGGUAUCGAACAGGAUUAGAUACCCCAGUAGUC